GCUGGGCAUGGUGGCGCACACCUGUAGUCCCAGCAGCUCUGGAGGCUGAGAGAGGAGGAUCUUGAGUUCAAAGCCAGCCUCAGCAAAAGCAGGUGCUAAGCAACUCAAUGAGACCCUGUCUCUA
rnacentral:sRNA from 1 species